AGGAUGUGACAAUGCUAAGACAACUAGGAUGUUGGCUUAGAAGCAGCCACUCAUUCAAAGAGUGCGUAAUAGCUCACUAGUCGAGUGAUGUUGCGCGGAAAAUUCAACGGGGCUAAGCAUACAACCGAAGCUUGGGCAGUAGUGAUACUGGGUAGGGGAGCGUUCUGUACGGGCAGAAGCAUCAGCGGAAGCAGGUGUGGACUGUACAGAAGUGAGAAUGCCGGAAUGAGUAGCGAGAAUUGUGUGAGAAUCAUAAUGGCCGAAAAUCUAAGGUUUCCGGGGGUAGGGUCGUCCACCCCGGGUUAGCCGGGAGCUAAGGCGAGGCCGCGAGGCGUAGUCGAUGCACAAACGGUAGAGAUUCCGUUGCCGCCAGAUCUUAAGUAACUGACACGAGGGUAGAGUUCAACCCGGCCGAUGGUAGAGCCGGGCGAAAGGGACUGAAGAAUAGUAGGGAAGUGAACGAAGCCAGCGGCGAGAAAAGGUUAUGUAUGAAAUCAGGCGCCCGUACCGCAAACCGACACAGGUAGAUGAGGAGAGGAUCCUAAGGCCAGCGGGAGAAGGGUUGUUAAGGAACUCGGCAUAUUGACCCCGUAACUUCGGAAGAAGGGGUGCCUCCGUAAGGAGGCCGCAGUGAAAAGGCCCAGGCAACUGUUUAUCAAAAACACAGGUUUCUGCAAAAGCGAAAGCUGAAGUAUAGGAGCUGACGCCUGCCCGGUGCUGGAAGGUCAAGGGGAUCGCUUAGCGCAAGCGAAGGCGAGAACUUAAGCCCCAGUAAACGGCGGCCGUAACUAUAACGGUCCUAAGGUAGCGAAAUUCCUUGUCAGGUAAGUUCUGACCCGCAUGAAAGGCGUAAUGAUCUGGGCACUGUCUCAACAGCCCGCCCGGCGAAAUUGUAGUACCGGUGAAGAUGCCGGUUUCCUGCGACUAGACGGAAAGACCCCAUGGAGCUUUACUGUAGUCUGAUACUGAAAUUUGGUUCAUUAUGCACAGGAUAGGUGGGAGACAGAGAAACCCGGGCUUUGGCUUGGGCGGAGUCGCCGUUGGGAUACCACUCUUGAUGAACCAAGUUUCUAACCUGCUCCCGUGAUCCGGGAGGGGGACAAUGUCAGAUGGGCAGUUUGACUGGGGCGGUCGCCUCCAAAAGAGUAACGGAGGCGUUCAAAGGUUGGCUCAGCGCGGACGGAAAUCGCGCAAUGAGUAUAAACGUAUAAGCCAGCCUAACUGUGAGACCUACAAGUCGAGCAGUAACGAAAGUUGGAGUUAGUGAUCAGGUGGUAGUGAGUGGAAAUGCCAUCGCUUAACGGAUAAAAGCUACCCUGGGGAUAACAGGCUGAUCUCCCCCAAGAGUUCACAUCGACGGGGAGGUUUGGCACCUCGAUGUCGGCUCAUCACAUCCUGGAGCUGGAGAAGGUUCCAAGGGUUCGGCUGUCCGCCGAUUAAAGUGGUACGCGAGCUGGGUUCAGAACGUCGUGAGACAGUUCGGUCCCUAUCUGUCGUGGGCGUUGGAUAUUUGAGAAGGGCUGACCUUAGUACGAGAGGACCGGGUCGGACGCACCUCCUGUGCACCAGUUGUCCUGCCAAGGGCAUAGCUGGGUAGCGGCGUGCGGUUUUGAUAAACGCUGAAGGCAUCUAAGCGUGAAGCAUGCUUCAAGAUGAGAUAUCCCAUCAUUUCAAAUGAGUAAGGUCACUUGCAGACUACAAGUUGAUAGGUCGGGUGUGUAAGCACGGUAACGUGUUCAGCUAACCGAUACUAAUUGACCGAGGGCUUGAACCU
rnacentral:rRNA from 1 species